GGCGAACGGGUGAGUAACACGUGGGUAACCUGCCCAUCAGAAGGGGAUAACACUUGGAAACAGGUGCUAAUACCGUAUAACAAUCGAAACCGCAUGGUUUUGAUUUGAAAGGCGCUUUCGGGUGUCGCUGAUGGAUGGACCCGCGGUGCAUUAGCUAGUUGGUGAGGUAACGGCUCACCAAGGCCACGAUGCAUAGCCGACCUGAGAGGGUGAUCGGCCACAUUGGGACUGAGACACGGCCCAAACUCCUACGGGAGGCAGCAGUAGGGAAUCUUCGGCAAUGGACGAAAGUCUGACCGAGCAACGCCGCGUGAGUGAAGAAGGUUUUCGGAUCGUAAAACUCUGUUGUUAGAGAAGAACAAGGAUGAGAGUAACUGUUCAUCCCUUGACGGUAUCUAACCAGAAAGCCACGGCUAACUACGUGCCAGCAGCCGCGGUAAUACGUAGGUGGCAAGCGUUGUCCGGAUUUAUUGGGCGUAAAGCGAGCGCAGGCGGUUUCUUAAGUCUGAUGUGAAAGCCCCCGGCUCAACCGGGGAGGGUCAUUGGAAACUGGGAGACUUGAGUGCAGAAGAGGAGAGUGGAAUUCCAUGUGUAGCGGUGAAAUGCGUAUAUAUAUGGAGGAACACCAGUGGCGAAGGCGGCUCUCUGGUCUGUAACUGACGCUGAGGCUCGAAAGCGUGGGGAGCAAACAGGAUUAGAUACCCUGGUAGUCCACGCCGUAAACGAUGAGUGCUAAGUGUUGGAGGGUUUCCGCCCUUCAGUGCUGCAGCUAACGCAUUAAGCACUCCGCCUGGGGAGUACGACCGCAAGGUUGAAACUCAAAGGAAUUGACGGGGGCCCGCACAAGCGGUGGAGCAUGUGGUUUAUUUCGAAGCACGCGAAGAACACCACCAGUUCUUGACA
rnacentral:rRNA from 1 species